UACAGAGGGGGCGAGCGUUAUUCGGAAUUAUUUGGGCGUAAAGGGCGCGUAGGCGGCUUUGCAAGUGACGGGUGAAAUCCCUCGGCUUAACCGAGGAACUGCCUGUCAGACUGUAAGGCUUGAGACCGGGAGAGGUGAGUGGAAUUCCCAGUGUAGCGGUGAAAAUGCGUAGAUAUUGGGAGGAACACCAGUGGCGAAGGCGGCUCACUGGACCGGUACUGACGCUGAGGCGCGAAAGCGUGGGUAGCAAACAGG
rnacentral:rRNA from 1 species